ACUGCAUCAUAUACUGCCCGUUGUUGAUGGUUGAGUUUGUCAAAAAGCUUCUCGUGGAUAAUGGCCUCCUCAGCUAUGUCAAACUGGUCGUGCCUCGCCAUAGCUUUAUGUUUGAUUUGGUCCAUAACAGCUUUGUUUGGAAGUGGCAUCACCGUAAACUCAGUUAACGACUUCUCGAAGUUUUGUAGCAAGCAUUCUAUUUCAAUAAGUGUGUACUGUUGUAGUUCAUUGGGGGAUAGCUGGAGGUCUGGGAAACGAAGUAGACGUCGCUGCUGCAUGAGAACAUCUUCUGCCAUGUCCUGCCAAGAAUGGUCCCAUAGUUUUUUUGGUUCUGAGACCUGACAGAAGACGAGGAUUAGUACGAACAUGUAGCGAAGAGAUCUUGGCGAUGAGAAUUGAGAUGCUUCUGACAUCGAGUCAUGCCAGUCCUUGUCUGUGCCGAGCAAGCCUCUUGCAUAGCAGGCUUCUUGAAAGGUAUUGUAUUUGAUGUCACCCACUGAAUAUAAAUCGUCAUAGCAUGUAGGGCCUCGUACUACGCUGACCAAAAUGCGCAAGUACCGGUUCUCGACAUUCCCAAGGUCCUCAUCUUCUUCAAAUAUAGCCGUCUGUUCUCCAGGGAGGUGUACUGGCAUUUUCUGUACCGCUGGGGUGUGGUGGUGAAUAGAAAACUCAAAUAUUCUCCACAUCGAUUCACAUGCUGAAAGGAUCUGGAGAUUGUGGGGAACAACAAAUUGAUUGUCAAGCUUGAUGUUUCCCUUGUAAACAACCUGUUCUGUCUACCGUCGCCUGUAUAAGAUGUAGCCGGACUCAUUAACUUGAGUGUGUGAAACGUAGCUGCGGGGAAUUUUUUUACUGCAAACACCAUCCUCCAUGCACGGAGAUGCUUUUCUGUCUUCCCCACAGGGGCCGUGCAUCAUGUGUUGCUCCACCAGACCAUAAGCCUCUGGAUCUUUUUCUUUGUCUGGGAGUUCUGCUGAGAUGAUUUUGUCAAUAUCUGAUGCUGUUGGAUUUCUGAAGUCACCGUCAAGCCAUAGAAGUAUGUGAGCAUGUGGCAACCCUCUCUUCUGAAACUCAAUUGUGUAGACAACUGAGUUUUAAAAAAUAACAGAAUGAUACCUGCUUUGGGACGGGGAAAGAAGAUGCCUUUGUUGAAAUCUGAAAUCAACUCAUCAAGCUUCAUCUUGAACACCCUAGCUUCUAAGUCUGGGUGAUCAUUAGGGUCAUCAGAGCCAUACAUUUUAAGGUGGUCAGAUAUCUCAUCCCAUUUGGGAUUGGUUGUAAUGGUGAUGAAUAAGUCUGGAUUCCCAUACCACCGACAUAUUGCCAUCGCAUCAUGAUACUUUUCAGCCAUAUAACGUGGGCUCCCUGUAAAACUUGCGGGUCUGCUCUGAUCUUCUUCUGGUUCAAUCUGAACCACCGCAACCUCUCUUGCUCUAUGGAUGUGUAAGCGUCAACGAUAUACUGGUGGAGUAAUCUUUUGGAUCUCACAAUAACCAUGCCUUC